rnacentral:rRNA from 1 species
GACGAACGCUGGCGGCGUGCCUAAUACAUGCAAGUAGAACGCUGAAGAGAGGAGCUUGCUCUUCCUGGAUGAGUUGCGAACGGGUGAGUAACGCGUAGGUAACCUGCCUGGUAGCGGGGGGUAACUAUGGGAAACGAUAGCUAAUACCGCAUAAAAUUGAUUAUUGCAUGAUAAUUAAUUGAAAGAUGCAACUGCAUCACUACCAGAUGGACCUGCGUUGUGUUAGCUAGGUGGUGAGGUAACGGCUCACCAAGGCGACGAUACAUAGCCGACCUGAGAGGGUGGUCGGCCACCCUGGGACCGGGGCACCGGCCCGGCCUCCUCGGGAGGCCGCCGUAGGGGAUCAUCGGCCAUGGGGGGAAACCUGACCGAGCAACGCCGCGUGAGUGAAGAAGGUUUUCGGAUCGUAAAGCUCUGUUGUAAGGGAAGAACGGGUGUGAGGGUGGAAAGUUCACGCUGUGACGGUAUCUUACCAGAAAGCACCGGCUAACUUCGUG